rnacentral:rRNA from 1 species
UUAACACAUGCAAGUCGAGGGGCAUCGGGUAGAAAGCUUGCUUUCUUUGCCGGCGACCGGCGCACGGGUGAGUAACACGUAUCCAACCUGCCCUUUACUCGGGGAUAGCCUUUCGAAAGAAAGAUUAAUACCCGAUAGUAUAAUGAUUCCGCAUGGUUUCAUUAUUAAAGGAUUCCGGUAAAGGAUGGGGAUGCGUUCCAUUAGGUUGUUGGUGAGGUAACGGCCCACCAAGCCUUCGAUGGAUAGGGGUUCUGAGAGGAAGGUCCCCCACAUUGGAACUGAGACACGGUCCAAACUCCUACGGGAGGCAGCAGUGAGGAAUAUUGGUCAAUGGGCGCUAGCCUGAACCAGCCAAGUAGCGUGAAGGAUGAAGGCUCUAUGGGUCGUAAACUUCUUUUAUAUAAGAAUAAAGUGCAGUAUGUAUACUGUUUUGUAUGUAUUAUAUGAAUAAGGAUCGGCUAACUCCGUGCCAGCAGCCGCGGUAAUACGGAGGAUCCGAGCGUUAUCCGGAUUUAUUGGGUUUAAAGGGAGCGUAGGUGGACUGGUAAGUCAGUUGUGAAAGUUUGCGGCUCAACCGUAAAAUUGCAGUUGAUACUGUCAGUCUUGAGUACAGUAGAGGUGGGCGGAAUUCGUGGUGUAGCGGUGAAAUGCUUAGAUAUCACGAAGAACUCCGAUUGCGAAGGCAGCUCACUGGACUGCAACUGACACUGAUGCUCGAAAGUGUGGGUAUCAAACAGGAUUAGAUACCCUGGUAGUCCACACAGUAAACGAUGAAUACUCGCUGUUUGCGAUAUACAGUAAGCGGCCAAGCGAAAGCAUUAAGUAUUCCACCUGGGGAGUACGCCGGCAACGGUGAAACUCAAAGGAAUUGACGGGGGCCCGCACAAGCGGAGGAACAUGUGGUUUAAUUCGAUGAUACGCGAGGAACCUUACCCGGGCUUAAAUUGCAGUGGAAUGAUGUGGAAACAUGUCAGUGAGCAAUCACCGCUGUGAAGGUGCUGCAUGGUUGUCGUCAGCUCGUGCCGUGAGGUGUCGGCUUAAGUGCCAUAACGAGCGCAACCCUUAUCUUCAGUUACUAACAGGUCAUGCUGAGGACCCUGGAGAGACUGCCGUCGUAAGAUGUGAGGAAGGUGGGGAUGACGUCAAAUCAGCACGGCCCUUACGUCCGGGGCUACACACGUGUUACAAUGGGGGGUACAGAAGGCAGCUAGCGGGUGACCGUAUGCUAAUCCCAAAAUCCUCUCUCAGUUCGGAUCGAAGUCUGCAACCCGACUUCGUGAAGCUGGAUUCGCUAGUAAUCGCGCAUCAGCCACGGCGCGGUGAAUACGUUCCCGGGCCUUGUACACACCGCCCGUCAAGCCAUGGGAGCCGGGGGUACCUGAAGUACGUAACACGCAAGGAUCGUCCUAGGGUAAAACUGGUGACUGGGGC